AUUUCUGAGGCUGAUUUCAAGAACACGAUAGUGAAUGGGAUGACUAUGAGGUAUGGAUCACUAUGAUAUAAUUGUUAUUCCCCUAUGUUUUCUGAAAAACUACUCUCAGUGUUGGAUCAUUUGUUUAAAAAGGAUCUACUGGGGGGAGAGUCUAUGGAGCCAGCCUCCACGAUGGCUCCCAGUGAUGCUCACCCCCUGGCAUUUUCACCGUCCUCCUGUGGUCUCCUCCAACACUGAAAAGGAGUUUGCAGAAAUGAUGACAUGCGACAUGUGAGAUGAGGUCAUAAAGGACGCGGCGGCUGUGCACACCCUGCUCUCUCUCGGAUCACUGGCUCUGGGUGAAGCCAGUGCCAUGCUGUGAGGACACUCACUCAAGCACUCCCAUGCAGAUGCCCACAUGGCAAGGAACGGAGGCCUCCUGGCAGCCACCAGCGCGGCCUGCGAGCCAUGAGCGUGAACCACCGUCUCCCAGGAGAACUUCAACAGAACUGUACAGCCAAGUUGCUGCCGAGUUCCUGGCCCAUAGAAACCGUGAAGGAAUACAUGUCUAUUGUGUGAAGCCACUGAGUUUCGAGGUCAUUUGUUGCACAGCCACAGGCAAUCGCGGAUUCACAGGCAACAAAGAGCAAUGGAAACGAAUUCAUCUGCAUAAGGGAUGCCAUGACCAGGGAGGAAGUCCCUUGGAUAAAGACGUGCCUGCAGGAACGAGGGUCCUAAGCCUGGAACCGAGAAUCCCUGACAACUACUCAGCAAACCUCUGUCUAAUCCUGCACUGAUGAGCUGCUCGCCGAAUCGGAAUCUGCCCACCCUGGAAUUCCCUGCGUCCACCGCUGACCAGUGCGCGACAAGUCUCCCGGUCGGUGGGGUUGCCAACACGGCAAUGGUCUGCAUAUUGGGAGCUCGUUGUCAUGAACCCCGAGGUGUUGCUCCUUCAUGUUAAACGCCCCAGAUUCCUUUACCACCACCCUUCACAUCGAAAGUAAAACUGCUCCCACUCCUGAUAAGAGUGUGAUCAAAAUAUGAUAAAACAAGACGAUUGCUUCCCUUGUUCUAAAUACUGUCUUUCUUACUCUGUCCAAAGACCACAUCGCCCCUCGGGACAGCCAUUGGAUACUGAUCGCCCACCCUCAUAACUGUCUCCCCCCGAGCCUUUCCCAUCCCCAAAUCUUUUAAUAUGUUCUACCAUUAAUUCAGGUUUCCCCCAUUAAUUGAUUUUAAAAAAAACAUGCUAAGACUAAACGAGUCUUACUACAUGUUAUAUGGUUAACUUGACUCAUGCUUCUGUCUUAUUGAGAUCUUUUUCAAUUUUGAUUUUAUCAUUCAGGAACUUAGGAGUUCUUCCAAAGUUUGUGUUACCCACAAACUUGACAAACAAGCCUCUUCUGUCUUCAUUCAGUUCACUCACAUGGACAGAAUUCUGUGGCUU